ACGGAGGGUCCGAGCGUUAAUCGGAAUUACUGGGCGUAAAGCGUGCGCAGGCGGUUUGUUAAGCCAGAUGUGAAAUCCCCGGGCUCAACCUGGGAAUUGCAUUUGGAACUGGCGAACUAGAGUCUUGUAGAGGGGGGUAGAAUUCCAGGUGUAGCGGUGAAAUGCGUAGAUAUCUGGAGGAAUACCGGUGGCGAAGGCGGCCCCCUGGACAAAGACUGACGCUCAUGCACGAAAGCGUGGGGAGCAAACAGG
rnacentral:rRNA from 1 species